UGCUUAAUAGGGACUAGUGGUUAGGCCACAGUGCUCUCACCGCUACAGCCGGGGUUCGAUUCCCAGCUAGGAAG